ACUUUUAAAGGAUAACAUCUAAUCCA
rnacentral:tRNA from 1 species